rnacentral:rRNA from 1 species
AGGGCGGCGAAGCCGCGAGGUGGAGCGAAUCCCAAAAAGCCGGUCUAAGUUCGGAUUGCAGGCUGCAACCCGCCUGCAUGAAGUCGGAAUCGCUAGUAAUCGCGAGUCAGCAUAUCGCGGUGAAUACGUUCCCGGGUCUUGUACACACCGCCCGUCACACCAUGGGAGUUGGCAACACCCGAAGUCGAUGAGCUAACCGCAAGGAGGCAGUCGCCUAAGGUGGGGUUGAUAACUGGGGUGAAGUCGUAACAAGGUAAC